GUCUAAUCAGUGCUUACAAUGGUACGGUGUUGCCUUCAAAAUACCUACAAUCAUCAUCAGAAUAAAUCAAUUUGGGGGGUAACGUUACAUUUCCGCUAUUUCUAAAAAUAAAAUCGGGCGACCUUUUGUGUCCAAAAUGUUACGUCUCGAAAAAUCAAUUUUUUUACGAUAACGCUGUUUACUUUCACAUAUCGGUUGCGCAAAGGCGCCGGAAAAUAACUGCACACAUUAUUUGAUGACGUAGAACGCAUUCAACGAAUUUGUGUACACAAAAGCUGACAACAUGGCCGAAUCUUCGACACGAGUUCGGUAAGUGAAGAGAGUUACGUCUGAAAUAACCUAACCUAGCCUUAAACAUCCGAGUUUUUUUGUGAAACGACAUGCCUUAGGUAUCGUUUUAUUGUUUUAAAGUAAUUCGAAUAGAAUUAUGAUUUGACUUUGGUACGAAAAUAAAAUGCAAAUGAAUAAAGGACGACAGAACUGCAAGAUUCAAUGGCGAUGUUCAAAAUAGACGUCGUGUCCAAGUUACAUCUUAGGAAUGAAAAUGCAUUUAGUCGUCUUUGUUGUCUGCUACGACUUAUAUUUUCCCACAUACUUGUGCCUGGAUGGAAACAAAUUAGAGAUUACCCUGUUCCAUGUUUUAAAUUGUUAUGUUUAACCAAAUACAGUGUUUGAACAAAAGAUGUAACGUGGACUACAUUUUCGACAUAAAGGAUGUAACUUGGACUACAAUUAAUUGGGAAACCCAUUGGAACUGUUUUUUUUAAAUUGAGUAGUAACAUAAAAGAUGGGUAUAUGCUGCAAAGGGUUAAUGUCAUUCACAGUUAUUUUUAAGAAUUCAUUUUCUUUCUAGUUUGAAACUAUAUUGAACUGUCUUUGAAAUUUGAAAUCAAUGUCUGGCAAACUUUUAAUAUGUUUGUAUACAUGUAUAUAUUUAAUAAAUUUAUAAUUUGAUUUUUGGAGAUAAUUCAGAAUUUCAAAUAAAGGUGUUUUUUUAAUGAGACAAUUUCUUGUUCCAAACCAUAAACGACACUUAAGUACUGAAGUGAGCAUUUAAUAGGAAGCAGCUAAACAUGCCAUUGAAUCAAGCAAGCAUUUGUUUUAAAGCUAGAAACACCUUACUUGUUAUAAGUAACAAUAGUAUAGAAGCUUUUGUUUUACUAUAUAAGCAGCAACUUUAACUCAAUAGUUAACAACUAAACAUGUAUUACAUUUUAGGUGGAUGAAUGGCCGUGGGUCAUAUUCUUCAAGAAAUAUAAAGAUAAUGCAUGGGUUAUGAAUGAAAUAAGGCAUACCAUCCUUGAAUCAGAUAUCCAGAGAAAGUUGGAACCACCUAAAGUGUCCAAGCUAGGUUGUCGGCUACUUUACAGAUUUGAAAGUUACAAGGAAGACAAGUGAAGCAGAGAGAGAGGGAGAAAUACCAUGUUUGCAGUUUAGAGUUUGCUGUUGUUUUAGUCUGUGAAAAUCUCAGAAUAAAUAAUAUGUUAAUUACUAUCUGUCUCCUUAAAAGCUAUUAUUUUUUUAUUACCCUGCAAGUUAAAAUCCGUUUAUCUGAUUGGUCAAUAUGCACUGAAUAUAGUUUAAUAUUCCUUGUCAUUCAUAUAUUGAUAUAAAAUCAGAUUUGUGGUUUAAUUUUUGAAGGUGUUUAGCCCCUUUUAAGUUCUGUAAUGUGCUUAGUUUUUUAUUUUGAAAAGUGAACCAAUUAACUAACCAAUUAGCUAACCAAUUAGUUAACAUUGUUUAAUGCAGGUUGGAAUUAAUGCUGAAAUAUAGGAGCUUUCAGCAUUUCUUUCAAUCAGCAUUAAACUACAUACAUGAAAAGGUGAAAAUAGGAUAAACUUCGGUUAUCUCUUCGCAAUUUGUCUGAUUUCUUUGACAUCGAGAUAACGAGAGUCAUUUUGUCGUCCAAUGUUAGUCUCUGAUUUCUAAAAACAUGUCAGAAUUGUCAUUUAUAAUCAAGAAUUAUGAACUGCUAUCGUUUUAAAUGUUUCUAAGUAACUAGUCUUUCAUUUGGAAUCAAAGAAAGGAAAAACUUUUGAUUAUUUUAAUGUUUUUUAUUGAAUAAAUGUUCAAUUUU